UACGUAGGGUGCGAGCGUUGUCCGGAAUUACUGGGCGUAAAGGGCUCGUAGGCGGUUUGUCGCGUCGGGAGUGAAAACACUGGGCUUAACUCAGUGCUUGCUUCCGAUACGGGCAGACUAGAGGUAUGCAGGGGAGAACGGAAUUCCUGGUGUAGCGGUGAAAUGCGCAGAUAUCAGGAGGAACACCGGUGGCGAAGGCGGGUCUCUGGGCCGAUACUGACGCUGAGGAGCGAAAGCGUGGGGAGCGAACAGG
rnacentral:rRNA from 1 species